UCAAGCGAACAAGGGCGCAGGGCGAAUGCCUUGGCACUGGGAGCCGAUGAAAGACGUGAUAAGCUGCGAUAAGCUUCGGGGAGCUGCAAAUAAGCAUUGAUCCGGAGAUUUCUGAAUGAGGAAACUCACCUGGGUUCAUACUCAGGUACGUUAUACUGAACUUAAAAAUAGGUAUAUCGAGGGAACCGCCUGAACUGAAACAUCUAAGUAGGGCGAGGAAGAGACAUCAAACGAGAUUCCGUAAGUAGUGGCGAGCGAACGCGGAAGAGGGCAAACCGGGAGUAGAAAUACUUCCGGGGUACGGACUGCUUUUAGGACUUAAUCUGUUAACCGAACGGCAUGGGAAGGCCGGUCAGAGAGUGUGAGAACCACGUAGGUGAAAACGGAGAGAGCUGCGCAGGAUCCAGAGUACGGCCAGACACGUGAAACCUGGUCGGAACAUGGGGGGACCACCCUCCAACCCUAAAUACUACCCAGUGACCGAUAGCGUAUAGUACUGUGAAGGAAAGGUGAAAAGCACCCCGGGAGGGGAGUGAAAAAGAACCUGAAACCCUGUGCCUACAAGCACCUAGAGCACGUCAAUGUGUGAUAGGGUACUUUUUGUAGAACGGUCCGGCGAGCGAUUGUAUGCAGCAAGGUUAAGGACUUAAGGUCUGGAGCCGAAGCGAAAGCGAGUUUGAAAAGGGCGUUAAGUUGCAUAUAAUGGGCCCGAAACCGGGUGACCUACCCAUGGUCAGGUUGAAGUGGAAGUAAAAUUCCAUGGAGGACCGAACCGACCUCCGUUGAAAAGGCGGCGGAUGAACUGUGGGUAGCGGAGAAAUUCCAAUCGAACCCGGAGAUAGCUGGUUCUCCCCGAAAUAGUUUUAGGACUAGCCUCAAGUUAGAUACCUGGAGGUAAAGCACUGAAUAGCCUAGCGGCCGAGAGGUUAGCGAAGCUUAUCAAACUCAGAAUGCCAGAGUAUUGAUGCUUGGGAGUCAGACAGUGUCAGAUAAAUGUCAUUGUCAAAAGGGAAACAGCCCAGAUCUACAGCUAAGGUCCCAAAGUCAGGUUAAGUGGAAAACGAUGUGAAGAUACGUAGACAACCAGGAUGUUGGCUCAGAAGCAGCCACACAUUCAAAGAGUGCGUAAUAGCUCACUGGUCGAGCGUCUUUGCGCGGAGAAUUUAACGGGGCUAAACCUGACACCGAAGCUUAGGCAAUACAGCAAUGUAUUGGGUAGGGGAGCGUUGUAUACGCGGUGAAACAGUAGCGCAAGCGGCUGUGGAGUGUAUAGAAGUGAGAAUGCCGGAAUGAGUAGCGCGAAUGCAGUGAGAAUCUGCAUGGCCGAAAGCCUCAGGUUUCUGGAGGAAGGUUCGUCCGCUCCAGGUUAGUCGGGAGCUAAGGUGAGGCCUAACGGCGUAGCCGAUGCACAGACGGUAGAGAUUCCGUCACCACCAAAAGAGUUAAACACAGGGACACAUUUGAAGUCUCGGAGCCGGGUGUUGGUUCCGGUAGCGAUCGAGGGAAAUUAGUACCGAAGUCCGGGAUGGAAGAUGGCGAGAAAAGCUGUGUGUAUUUCUGCGGUGCCCGUACCGCAAACCGACACAGGUAGGUAGGAAGAAGAUUCUAAGGCCAACGGGAGAAGGGUUGUUAAGGAACUCGGCAAAUUGACCCCGUAACUUCGGGAGAAGGGGUGCUCCAGAGAUGGAGCCGCAGAGAAUCGGCCCAAGCAACUGUUUACCAAAAACACAGGUUUGUGCUAAAUCGAAAGAUGACGUAUACGAGCUGACGCCUGCCCGGUGCUGGAAGGUUAAGAGGAGAUGUGCAAGCAUUGAAUCGAAGCCCCAGUGAACGGCGGCCGUAACUAUAACGGUCCUAAGGUAGCGAAAUUCCUUGUCAGGUAAG
rnacentral:rRNA from 1 species